AGCGAACGCUGGCGGCAGGCCUAACACAUGCAAGUCGAACGAACCUUUCGGGGUUAGUGGCGGACGGGUGAGUAACACGUGGGAACGUGCCUUUAGGUUCGGAAUAACUCAGGGAAACUUGUGCUAAUACCGAAUGUGCCCUUCGGGGGGAAGAUUUAUCGCCUUUAGAGCGGCCCGCGUCUGAUUAGCUAGUUGGUUGAGGUAAUGGCUCACCAAGGCGACGAUCAGUAGCUGGUCUGAGAGGAUGAUCAGCCACAUUGGGACUGAGACACGGCCCAAAAUCCUCCGGGAGGCAGCAGUGGGGAAUCUUGCGCAAUGGGCGAAAGCCUGACGCAGCCAUGCCGCGUGAAUGAUGAAGGUCUUAGGAUUGUAAAAUUCUUUCACCGGGGACGAUCAUGACGGUACCCGGAGAAGAAGCCCCGGCUAACUUCGUG
rnacentral:rRNA from 1 species